GUUUGGAAAAUCCACCCUGACUUAGAAGGGCGGGUCAGGGUGUAAUUUUAAUGCCCUUAACGGCGUCAGAGUGAACGGCUGACGUCGGAGCGUCAAUGUUCCUGUUCCUUCUGUGAUGUCCGCUUUUUUGUCAACCUUACAAAGAAAUGUUUUUUUUUCUUCCUUAUAUGUGGCUCGGUGCGUCCCGCAUUCAGUUGUGGGCAAACCUGAAUGUCGCAGCCUUUUAGUGCCCACUGUCCUGAAAAUGUUUCUGGUUAAAACCGUAGGUUGGUACCUUGAUAACUUAGUUGGGAAAAUCGUCGGAAAUGCUAUCCGUUAGGGCCGGAUAGCCUCCUUAUUUCCUUUUGCCUGCCCUAGGGGUUCCCAUGUGGGCUAUGGGGGCCUUAGUUUAAUUGCCCAUGUCAUUGUUUACAUUUUCUUAUCUGUUUUGAAUUUGAAUCUAACCUGUAAUUGUCAAUCUUAGUUACCUUUCUAAACUCCCUAGUUUUCCUCUUAUCUUCUGUUUAGCGCGUAAAUUUUAAAUUUUCGUUUCCGUUUCACUUUUUUUCUGAGUCUCGUUCUUUAAAACUCCGAACGGAAAUCGUUCUAGCACUUUUGUCCUAGCUCCGUUGUGGGAGUCAUCUCGAGUGAUCAGAUUUUAGAUCAUCUCACAUUAUUGUGGAGAUUUGCGGUCAUCGAGUGUGAAAAUUUAAGUAUCGUAUGGAGUGAUUCGUUGUGAGUGCAGCUUCACUAAGAUUUUCGUGGUAAAUGCUCGCACCAUCGCCGUAGCCGAAUAGUCGGAUUCGCAGGACAAAAUUCUUUUGUUAACACGAGGAAGCCGCCCAACAUCAAAGGCUUCAAAUUGGGGGGAGUAAAACCUUCGAGGGGACCUAACAUCCCAUCAUCUCUCGUUCCGGACGUGGUCCUUCGCCGUUAUCACCAAACCCGCCAUCUGCGAGGUCAACAGCUACCUCUGAGGGAGCCCCUCAUCGAAAAGACGGUCAGGCAAGCCUUUGUUAAUUACGGACGCGCCGGAACCCCCUAACCUCGAGCCUUUUUGCUGUCUCGUGUGUUCUCUUUCUUCCAAUUUUUUUUGUUUGAUCGCCUCACGAUCAAAGGUAAUAUUGCUGAUCUCAUUUUGUAAUUUAAUAUAUAUAAUUUCGUUGUAAAUCGUCUCUGGACAUAUCGGUUGGUAGAUUCGGUUAUUAAUUUUGCGCUUAUCGAUAUCAGUCACAAAACAUAGAUCUAUGAGUUUGCGGCCGACAAAGAAUAAUAUUCCGAGCACGUGAUCGGUAUAAGAGAAUCACUUUUCUCCUGUCUACUUGUCCAGCGUAGAUAGAAUAGUAUUUUUUUAUUUCUUUAAUAAUUUUUAAUUUCCUACAUUUUUUUAAAUCUUUGUUAUAUAAUAUUUUAAUCCAUUAAAAUUUAAUUUCGGGGAAACCCCUUUUUCUUUCCUUUCUUUUUUUUCCCUCUAGUUGGGGUUAUACAACUAGUGGCGCCCAAUAACUUCGGUUUAUAGUUCUUUGUGAUCACCCACGCCCAACACCCAGAGCCGGCUGGCACCAACUUGUGUUACUUAGGUAACAUAUUUU